rnacentral:rRNA from 1 species
UACGAAGGACCCGAGCGUUAUCCGGAUUUAUUGGGUUUAAAGGGUGCGUAGGCGGGCUAUUAAGUCAGUGGUGAAAGCCCCAAGCUUAACUUGGGAACUGCCAUUGAUACUGAUGGUCUUGAGUACAUUUGAGGUGGGCGGAAUGUGUCAUGUAGCGGUGAAAUGCUUAGAUAUGACACAGAACACCGAUUGCGAAGGCAGCUCACUAAACUGUAACUGACGCUGAGGCACGAAAGCGUGGGGAGCAAACAGG